GAUCUAGUUAUUUUCUAUUAUAUAUAUAUAUAUAUAUUUUAAUUUUAUAGCUAUUUUUUUAUCUAUUAUAUAUAUAUUUAUCUAUUUUCUAUAUAUUUUUUAAUUUUGUAGCAUUUUUUUUUUCGGGCUAGCUACGCCGACAGGAGGCCCAUGUGCCGUUGGGCCGCCCGUGGCACCGUGUUCAUUGGGCCGACCAUACCGCCGAGCCGAAAUCGUGCCCGGGCCGUGCCGUGUGCCGAGGGGAAGGCACGCGGGCCGACACGGCAUGGCUCGUUAAAGUAGCUGGGCCGUUCGGGUCGUGCCGUAGCCUGAUCGUACUAAGCCAGGCCUAUGCCGGGCCAGCCCGAGUGGCCCAUCUGGCCAUCUUUGCCCCCGACCACCACCAGAGGGAGGCGUCGAAUCUGUUGCUCAGAACGGGAUCGAGAGGGAGAUAGAGAGGAGGAAGGCAGCGGCGGCACCGACUGUAGGCUCUAGCAACCGGCAAAAUGAGAUGGUGUCGGCCGAAUCUGGCUCGGGUGAGGGCGGAUCUGGGCCGUUCGAUACUGACAAUGAUGGAGGCGGAGAGGAGAAAGGCGAUGGGGACGGUGGCAGCAUCGUAUUGACAGUGGAGGGCAGCGGGCUCCAGUGAUCGACAAAUCCCCGACAAGGUCGCCCUCCUUUGAUGAACAUGAAGGUAUCCACGAACAUGUCCACUCCUUUGUCUUCGCCAGGUGUGGGGUCCACGAACACUCCGAUGCCUUUCUCUCCUCCGAUCGAUGAUGCACACCGCCGGCUCAAGUGCGUGGCUGACUCAAGUGAAGGAGAGGAUGAUAGUUCCAUCGAUGGCAGGGUCGCAGACCACCUCCCACGCUCGUGUGCCUACUGCUUCACCACCUCGGCCACGACGUGUCCGUCCUCUCUAUCAGGGUUAACAAGACCUUCCCCUUUCUUUGAUUCGAAAGAGGAGAGGCCUCAAGAACUUCCUGUAUAAAGCUGCAGCUUUGCAGCUGCUACGAAAUCAGUUGGGGUUGCUGGGUGGAAACUCAAAUAUUGUUUCUGCUUGAUUUGCAUCAAGAACAGGAAGCCUUGGCUCAUAAGAGAUUAAGGUAAUGCUCUCACUAUAUACAAUUGGUCAAUGCUUUCUUUUUAUUUCCCUGGAUUAGAUUGCACUUACAUUCCAUGAGCUCAUAUUCUGUGUAGUAAGUGGGCUUCAACAUCCUUCCAUGUUUUAUUUCAAUAAUUAUAAAUUUCAUCUUCACUCAAUAAAUUAUUGAUUUGAUACUGCUAUUUUUCUUUGUGGCCAUUGAGCAAAUCAAAUAGUAUUCUUCUCAUGU